rnacentral:rRNA from 1 species
AUGCCUCCUAGCGGGAAGGAGCGCAAGAGUGCGCCGGCGGUGACCGCCACCGGCCACAUCAGCGACCUCCCCGACCAGACGCUCCACCAUGUGCUCUCCUUCCUCCCGGUGCAGGUGGCCGCGCAGACGUGCGUGCUCGCCCGGCGCUGGCGACACCUUUGGAAGUCCACUACGGGCCUGCGCAUCGUCGGCCUCCAAGUUCAAGACCUCCGGAAGUUCAUGAACCAUCUGCUGGUCCUGCGUGGGCGCACCCACCUAGACACUGUUGAGAUCAAAUUCGAUCGUUAUGAUGAUGAUGAUGAUGAUGAUGAUGAUGUGCGCUAUGUGAACCUAUGGACCCGUUUUGCCGUGAUGUGGAAAGUUCGGGUGCUCACCCUUCAUAUCCUCAUUGGUAACAUUGUCUCUCAGCAUCUGGUAACAUUGGACCUUCAUUCUGUAGCCCUACCAAAGGCCUUUCUUGAUUUUGCUAGAUGCCCACAAUUGGUGAAUCUGAAGAUAGAUGAUUGCUUCAUCAAUGUCAAUAAGAUAUCUUCCUGUUCCCUGAAGCAUUUGAGCAUCACUGGUUGUCGAUCUGAUUUGGAUUUCCGAGUCCGUGUUUCUGCUCCAGGCCUUGUCUCUCUGGAACUAGAAGACUUUAUUGGUAUAACCCCUUUGCUUGAAGACAUGGCAUUACUGGAAGCCGCAUGUGUGAAUCUUAGUGAUAGAUGCAAAGAUGUCUGCUUGAAUUAUGACUCUGGUGUUUUCUGUGGAGCUAAGGAUAAUACAUGUAAGAAUUGUGUUCCUAUCAGUGAUAAUUGCAGCAGUGAUUGUGUGCUUCUGGGUGGUAUCUCACGUGCUAAACACCUCAAGUUGAUAUCUGAAAUUGGAAAGCCCAUUUUCACAAGAGAUCUGAAACACUGCCCUAAAUUUAGCAAGUUAAAGACUUUAUUACUUAACGAGUACUGGUGUGAGGCUCCUGACUUGGAUCCACUAGCUUGCAUUAUGAAAAACUCACCAGUUCUAGAGAAGCUCACUCUUCAACUCUUUUCCAAGGGACCAAAUCAUGAAGUGGAAAUGAAAGGCCAUAGGGACCAAAUCAUGAAAUGGAAAUGA